UCUCCUCCUGACCUAUGAACUCAUUUUCACCCUCAUCUCUCCCUCUUCAAAGUUGUCGUCGAACGCUUCUCCUUCGGUAGAAGGUGCUGUCGCCGCCGGCGGAGACAGACCGUGUGUACCUUCAUCAUCUGGGGAAGCUCUACUCGGCCCUCUUCGCAUUGUUGGUUCCUCCUCUCCUCGCCGUCGCACCAAGUUCUGAGUUGAGCUCGUGGCGUCACCGUCACGAAGGGUUCCUCCCCUCCUCGCCGUGCGUCGUUUCUGAUUCUCUGUUCCUCGCCGUUUUUGCCUUUGAUUUUGUGAUUUCAUUUCUGAUUUUGUGAUUUCAUCUAUGCUUCCUUUAAUUUUUUCUUAUUUCCUUAUCAACCUUUUGGUUUAUCUCUUUGAUUUCUUCUGUUAGAAUUUGUUCCUGCAGAAUUUGAUUUAGUUAGUUGCUUUCUGGUGCUUAAGUUUUUUUUAAUGGGAAUAAUCAAGUAAUCUAUCUUUUCUAGGGUUUGGAGGCUAUGCCCGAAGCUGACUUGAGUUCACUGUGAGUCACUAUUAAUUGCCACAAGCUUUUCUCUUUUUUUCUUUAUUUGUUUGUUUGGAUCUUUAAUUUCGAGUAGCUGUGCUGUGAUUUAUGAUCUAUUUCACUCUCGGUUUCUUUUGAUGCUGUUUUUCUUCCUCCAAGUUUUUUAAUUGUUCAUUGUGUGAGUUGUCGAGCUGGGUCAAUUUUGUUAGUAUAUCACAAGUAGAAAACUUCUCGUGGUACUUUUAUUUGUUAAUCAAUAUAACUAGGACCGCAGCACCAUCUUUCAAUAAUCAAUACCUUGCAUGUUUCAUACAUCAAAGAUCCAUUUGUUGUGAUAGCUUUAGGUAUCAUAGAAGGCACUUCAUCUUCUUCAUCAACUUCAAUUACUAACAAUCCUUGAUAUGGCCAUUUUUUCAUUAAACACUUGACCAAGAAAAUGUUCUCACCUAGCCCUGCCUAAAACCAACAACUUCUAGUUUCUAGGCUUGUUUGGUUCUACCGAUAUAGAACCUGUUGUGGUUUGAUUGGGGAUUUGAGACGUCAUUGAAGAAAAAUCUGGACGAGGAUACUCUAAUGAGAAGCUGUGGGAUGGUGGUUGGCUUCUAUGCCAGUUGCUUCCUUACAGAUAGUCAGAGUUCAACAGCAACCACCUUAAGAUAGUGUUUUGCUCUUAAUAGGAAGCUUGCAGACGAAAUUGCAGCUUCUGGUUACUAUGUGGUUGUUCCGGACUUCUUUUAUGGUGAACCCUAUGAUCCUCAGAAUACUAAUAGACCUUUAGGAAUUGAGAGUUAGUGAU